GAUGUCAUCAAGCCAGCAUGCAAUUCCCCAGUGUAUUUAAACCCAGCUGCACAGAUCAGCUGUGUACUCAGCACAGGCUGUGACCCUGGGGCAUACACGGACGCUACAUGCACACAAGGUGUUUGCAAGAUGAUCUCUGUUACAUGGGAGAUGCUGUUCCUUUAUUGAUGGAUGGCCUUAUGUUUGCCUCUGUGAGCUGUCUUUUGCCCCAGCUUUAGGUCCCCUAGUGGAUUUUUAAGGGAUUCGGUUACCUGCAUCUCUAUCCCCGACACGUCUUCUUUUGCCUGGGGACUGUAAUGUGUAUUUGCUCAUGUCAUUAUUGACAUAUUUGGCCUGGACCUGCGAUCAUCGAUCUCUAAACAUAUUUUUUGUACUAUCUACCACCAUCGGUAUAUAUUUCAUCUAUCAUUGGAAUCUUCCUGGAUGAUUAUAUCCACCGCUGUGUAUCAGAUUGUGAAAAUCAUGGCUACAUAGUAGCAAUAAUCCUGUUCAUUUCGUCCUGAAGAAGCCCCACGGUGAAACGCGUAGGCGACUUCAAUAGGAUUCUUUCACUAUUCUCUUGUUCUGAAUGGUUGUAUUGUGAUUGUGAUCAGUUGCUUUCCAUUAUACCAUUGUUAGUGUACAUUUUGUAAAUUUAUGUAAUAAAAUAUAUAUUUUUUAUACUUCCA